rnacentral:rRNA from 1 species
AAGGCUCAGUAUAACAGCUAUUAUUUAUUUGAUCGUAAACAUAGUUACUUGGAUAACUGUGGUAAUUCCAGAGCUAAUACAUGCAAACAACAUGGAUCCCUGUAGCAAUAUGGGUGAAACAUGUGCUUUUAUUAGAUUAAAACCAUGUCCAUCUCUGAUGGAUUUGUUUUAGAUGAAUCUGGAUAAUUAUGGCUGAUCGUAUGGUCUUGCACCGACGAUAGAUCAUUCAAAUGUCUGCCCUAUCAACUAUUGAUGGUAGUAUAGAGGACUACCAUGGUUGCAACGGGUAACGGGGAAUCAGGGUUCGA